rnacentral:rRNA from 1 species
AUUGAACGCUGGCGGCAGGCCUAACACAUGCCAGUCGAACGGUAACAGGAAGAAGCUUGCUUCUUUGCUGACGAGUGGCGGACGGGUGAGUAAUGUCUGGGAACUGGCUGAUGGAGGGGGAUAACUACUGGAAACGGGAGGUAAUACCGCAUAAUGUCGCCAGACCAAAGAGGGGGGCCUUCGGGCCUCUUGGCAUCCGAUGUGCCCAGAUGGGAUUAGCUAGUAGGUGGGGUAACGGCUCACCUAGGCGACGAUCCCUAGCUGGUCUGAGAGGAUGACCAGCCACACUGGAACUGAGACACGGUCCAGACUCCUACGGGAGGCAGCAGUGGGGAAUAUUGCACAAUGGGCGCAAGCCUGAUGCAGCUAUGCCGCGUGUAUGAAGAAGGCCUUCGGGUUGUAAAGUACUUUCAGCGGGGAGGAAGGGAGUAAAGUUAAUACCUUUGCUCAUUGACGUUACCCGCAGAAGAAGCACCGGCUAACUCCGUG